GUCAUUCUCCAGACAUGGGGGGAUUUCAUUCUAUUGCUUGGGAUAUUAUCUGUAUGCCUAAAAGACUUAGCGGCCUUGUGUUGACUUUCUUGGGUGUCAAACGGUAGACAUAUCUUUGUAAAUGUAAAUCUACAGUUCAAUUGGUCUUAAAUCCUAACUCUCUUUGGGCAAAAGUUGUGACUGCAAAAUAUCAUUUCAAUGGG
rnacentral:lncRNA from 1 species